GACGAACGCUGGCGGCGUGCCUAAUACAUGCAAGUCGAACGCAUUUUCUUUCACCGUAGCUUGCUACACCGAAAGAAAAUGAGUGGCGAACGGGUGAGUAACACGUGGGUAACCUGCCCAUCAGCGGGGGAUAACACUUGGAAACAGGUGCUAAUACCGCAUAAUUCCAUUUACCGCAUGGUAGAUGGAUGAAAGGCGCUUUUGCGUCACUGAUGGAUGGACCCGCGGUGCAUUAGCUAGUUGGUGGGGUAACGGCCUACCAAGGCUGCGAUGCAUAGCCGACCUGAGAGGGUGAUCGGCCACACUGGGACUGAGACACGGCCCAGACUCCUACGGGAGGCAGCAGUAGGGAAUCUUCGGCAAUGGACACAAGUCCGACCGAGCAACGCCGCGUGAGUGAAGAAGGUUGUCGGAUCGUAAAACUCUGUUGUUAGAGAAGAACAAGGAUGAGAGUGGAAAGUUCAUCCCUUGACGGUAUCUAACCAGAAAGCCACGGCUAACUACGUG
rnacentral:rRNA from 1 species